rnacentral:rRNA from 1 species
CCUACGGGUGGCAGCAGUAAGGAAUAUUGGUCAAUGGGCGCAAGCCUGAACCAGCCAUGCCGCGUGCAGGAAGACGGCCUACGGGUUGUAAACUGCUUUUGUACCGGAAUAUGUACGGUAAGAAUAAGGAUCGGCUAACUCCGUGCCAGCAGCCGCGGUAAUACGGAGGAUCCAAGCGUUAUCCGGAUUUAUUGGGUUUAAAGGGUGCGUAGGUGGCCUAUUAAGUCAGGGGUGAAAGACGGUAGCUUAACUAUCGCAGUGCCUUUGAUACUGAUGGGCUUGAAUACAGUUGAAGUGGGCGGAAUGUGACAAGUAGCGGUGAAAUGCAUAGAUAUGUCACAGAACACCGAUUGCGAAGGCAGCUCACUAAUGUGAUUGACACUGAGGCACGAAAGCGUGGGGAUCAAACAGGAUUAGAUACCCUUGUAGUC